UGUGAGAUAUCUCUUGGCCCAGCACCGAUGCGAUGUGACUCUCCUCUCAUGCCUACGCCCUGCCCACUGUAGUGAUUGUGCCACCAGCUCCUACGUUAUCUGACUCUUGUCUUCUUCCUGAGCCCUGCAAACAGGUAUGAUUGUGACACAGGCCACUGCUCAGAACAUGAGUGAUUUGACUCCUGCCUGGGCCCAGCAUACAGAUAGGAUUGCGACAUAUCGCUGGACCCAGCAUGUAGAUGAUGUGACCCUAUACUCUUGCCUUGGUGCUGCCAUAGAGGGCAUUGUGACAUAUCAGUAUUCCCUGCACCCAGAGAAGAUGGAGACAAAUUGCUAAGUGCGGUGUAUCUUGUGCUGACCUCCUCUCUCAUCCUGUGACAAGAAUGCCUAACCUGGGGAUGCAGCCAAGUAGGGUUAGCAUCAUUUCACGCAGCUGCUAUUCAAGAUUUCUGGUUUGAAUGCCUCCGACAUUAAGAUCCACUAUAAAAUUAUGCAAAAAGUCUAUUUGAAUUAUAGUGAAUGAGAAUUAAAAGAAUUAGGGUGGGCUAUUCUGAAAGAUGUAGUGAUAGUUAUAUUUGUGUUUAUGAGUUUUUUUAAAUUAACCUUUGUUUGUUACUUAAGAAUAGAUAUUUUCUCAAGCCUGUA